rnacentral:rRNA from 1 species
GACGAACGCUGGCGGCGUGCCUAAUACAUGCAAGUUGAGCGCUGAAGGUUGGUACUUGUACCAACUGGAUGAGCAGCGAACGGGUGAGUAACGCGUGGGGAAUCUGCCUUUGAGCCGGGGACAACAUUUGGAAACGAAUGCUAAUACCGCAUAAAAACUUUAAACACAAGUUUUAAGUUUGAAAGAUGCAAUUGCAUCACUCAAAGAUGAUCCCGCGUUGUAUUAGCUAGUUGGUGAGGUAAAGGCUCACCAAGGCGAUGAUACAUAGCCGACCUGAGAGGGUGAUCGGCCACAUUGGGACUGAGACACGGCCCAAACUCCUACGGGAGGCAGCAGUAGGGAAUCUUCGGCAAUGGACGAAAGUCUGACCGAGCAACGCCGCGUGAGUGAAGAAGGUUUUCGGAUCGUAAAACUCUGUUGGUAGAGAAGAACGUUGGUGAGAGUGGAAAGCUCAUCAAGUGACGGUAACUACCCAGAAAGGGACGGCUAACUACGU